UAAUUUAUUAAUAUAUGAAGAAAAGAGUUUAAAAACUUCAAAAGAAAAAUGCCGGUUUACCGUAAGUCCAGAACUGACUAUUGGUUUUACCUCCCAAAUUUGUAAAAGCCCUAAUCCUCUCUUUCCGUUGGACUGUUUGGUCUUCUGUAAAGGCGUUCAAUGUCUUCGAACUCAUCAUCCUCCGACUAUCUUCAGAAGCAGGUGAGAAGUCACGAGGUUGCUGUGGCGGAACUCAACUGCCUUUCUUCCUCUCGGGCUGUCUAUCAAAGAAAUGGAAACAUAUUUUUCCGAACAACCAUUCAGAAAGCAACUGCAUUUGAACAAAAACAAUUGGAUGCAGCAAAAGCUAGGCUCCAAAAGCUGAGUUGAUCAAAUCCAUGUACCUGACUUCUAUCAGCCUUGGCUUUCGUGGUGCAACGUUCAGCCUAUGUAGUCUUGAUAACAUUUCAGUACCCGAGUUGUAGACUACAGUGUGGUGGGGAGUACCUCAUAUUUUCUUUAUUUGAUCAUCAGUGGGUAAAACAUCUAUAUCUAACAGCAGUUGUUAGAAGAUAGGAAAGAUGAUCACUUUUGCAGAUCACUAGGAAUAUGUCUUAAAUCAAUUAUCAGUGUGUGGUUACUUUGUAGUUUGUACGUUUGUAAAUAAUAAUGAACUUUCUAAGGCAUCAGUUUCGUGAA